GAUGAACGCUGGCGGCGUGCUUAACACAUGCAAGUCGAACGAACCUUCGGGUUAGUGGCGGACGGGUGAGUAACGCGUGGGAAUCUGCCCUCAGGAGGGGGAUAACGGUUGGAAACGGCCGCUAAUACCCCAUAUGCCGAGAGGUGAAAUGAAUUUCGCCUGAGGAUGAGCCCGCGUCUGAUUAGCUAGUUGGUGAGGUAAGAGCUCACCAAGGCAUCGAUCAGUAGCUGGUCUGAGAGGAUGAUCAGCCACACUGGGACUGAGACACGGCCCAGACUCCUACGGGAGGCAGCAGUGGGGAAUUUUCCGCAAUGGGCGAGAGCCUGACGGAGCAACGCCGCGUGAGGGAUGAAGGCCUCUGGGCUGUAAACCUCUUUUAUCAAGGAAGAAGAUCUGACGGUACUUGAUGAAUAAGCCACGGCUAAUUCCGUGCCAGCAGCCGCGGUAAUACGGGAGUGGCAAGCGUUAUCCGGAAUUAUUGGGCGUAAAGCGUCCGCAGGCGGCCCAACAAGUCUGCUGUUAAAAAGUGGAGCUUAACUCCAUCAUGGCAGUGGAAACUGUUGGGCUCGAGUGUGGUAGGGGCAGAGGGAAUUCCCGGUGUAGCGGUGAAAUGCGUAGAUAUCGGGAAGAACACCAGUGGCGAAGGCGCUCUGCUGGGCCAUCACUGACGCUCAUGGACGAAAGCCAGGGGAGCGAAAGGGAUUAGAUACCCCUGUAGUCCUGGCCGUAAACGAUGAACACUAGGUGUCGGGGGGAAUCGACCCCUCCGGUGUCGUAGCCAACGCGUUAAGUGUUCCGCCUGGGGGAGUACGCACGCAAGUGUGAAACUCAAAGGAAUUGACGGGGGCCCGCACAAGCGGUGGAAUUAUGUGGUUUAAUUCGAUGCAACGCGAAGAACCUUACCAGGGUUUGACAUCCUGCGAAUCUCUUGGAAACUUGAGAGUGCCUUCGGGAGCGCAGUGACAGGUGGUGCAUGGCUGUCGUCAGCUCGUGU
rnacentral:rRNA from 1 species